GUUUAUUGGGCAGUGGAUCACGAGGGGAAUGAGACCCAUCAUUAGAGUUAGAGAAUUUUGAAUGUUCGUUGAUUGCUUUGAUUGCUUCGGUUUCGGCUUUUGGAUGCAUUGAGAGAAAUGUUGAUUUACUGUUGGCUCCAACCUGUCAUGCUUCGGUGUCAAGACUCUCAUAUAAAUAUGUAAGUUAUCAAGGUCCGGGAUCAAAACUGCCUAUAUGAAGCUAUCUGACUGGCACAGUCAAACAUGGACUAUCAGUCUCGGCGUUGGUGGACUCUGUCAUGCGAUGACCGGUAACCUACUGCACCGCUGAGCUCCGGGAUCAUAGCAAAACUCCAAGUGAAGGGGGUGGUAAUGCUGGAUCCAAGGGCUGGGACUGGCACAACACCAUGGGUCAACAAGUGGUACAACUAACUAUGAUGGCUACGUGGGCUUAUUUAGCUAGCUACGAACUAACUUCUGAGGUAAUGGGAUAGACCCGAAGCUAGCUAGCUAACACACAAGGAUGGAAAUGCCCAACAAAAAGCUAUAAAAGUGUGGAGUCAAUUGAGGGUACUAUGUUUCAUGAAGCCAAUAGAAGACUGUUGCUCACUGAGAGGAGGUAUGAAUAAAUUAAUUAUUAUAAGUCUUGGUGAUUCAAUAGCCUAUUUAAGCAUUACAUGACUUUUCACACACUAUUUUACUUACUGUCAGUAAUCAAGAACUAUCAGAGGCAGAGGAUCUCUCUUUCGGCUGCUGCUGACAACUGCAUGUAAAUUGUUCUUCAUCCGAACAUUAAGAGCACCUUCCUAAUAUUGAGUUGGACCCCCGUUGGACGGGGGGUCCAACUCAAUAUUAGGAAGGUGCUCUUAAUGUUUGGAUGAAGAACAAUUUACAUGCAGUUGUCAGUAGCAGCCCCCCCUUUUCCCCUCAGAACCACCUCAAUUCAUCAAGGCAUGGACCCUAUCAUGUGUUGAAAGCAUUCCACAUAGAUGUUGGCCAAUGUUGACUCUAAUGCUUCCUGCAGUUGUGUCAAGUUGGCUGGAUGUCCUUUGGGUGGUGGACCAUUCUUAAAUGGGAAGCUGUUGUGUGAAAGUGUUGUGUUGCAGUUCUUGACACAAACCACUGCGCCUGAUGCCUACUACCACACCACAUUCAAAGGCACUUACAUCAUUUUUCUUUCCCAUUCACCCUCUGAAUGGCAUACAUACACAAUCCAUGUCUCAAUCCAUGCAUACAUACAAAAUCCUUCUUUUACCUGUCUCCUCCCCUUCAUCCACACUAAUUUAAGUGGAUUUAACAGGUUACAUCAAUAAGGCAUCAUAGCUUCGAAAGAGCAGGUGUCCUUAAUGUUUUGUAUACUCAGUGUAUGUCUGCAUAGCGUUUUGUCUUCAUUUUGGCAGAUUAACUGAUGCUUAUUUCUGAAGAUGACCUGUUUAUUCUCCUUUUUUCUCCUCUGGAAUCAGUCAGGCAACAACCUAUACUGUACUGUACUGGGCCGGGCACCGGGUUCUAUAUGGAAGCAUUUUGGUUCAGUGAAGAAGAACCUCUGGGGUUUUUUAUAACUUUUAGGGAAUCCAUAUAUGAAGCAAGUGAUAGAACCCUUUUUGGUUUUAUAAGGAACCUUCUUUUCUAAGAGUGUGGCUAAUAAAUGAGGAAGCUUAGGAAGGAGAAAGCUGAUACCACUUAUGGAGGGGAUUUACUCUAUCAGGCAAAUGGGCAGACAAUGGUUCCUAGUUGGUGCCUGGAUUGCCUAGUCAAAUUGAAGUAUUAUUGACAAAACUUUACACUGCAUAUCUGCAUAUCAUUCUCUACCUUUCACUGGUGAACAAAGUCUUUUGGGGUCAAAUGAAGUGUACAUGAGCCUACCUCAUUAAAUCAAUUAUAUUACAAUUACAUCUGAAUAACACUGUAAGUGAGCCUGACCCAGGGUAGACAUACAGACAGCUAUUAACAGUUGAUUAUUAGUAAACAAGGAAGUCUUUUGUUUUUAUUUGACCAUUUCAAUUAUCCACCUCUCUCCCUCCCCCGCUCCCUCCUGGUACAGACAGACUACUGGAGCUUCCCAGAAACUGUAAUCACAUUCACUAUUAAUGAGACAUGUUCAUUCUGGACCCAUUUACUGCUCGUAAUAAUGCAUACUCUCUGGAAUUGUCUGUGGGUAUAUUACACUGUGUGCAUAUCAAACACACACACACACUCUCCAUGUCCUCCUGGAAGAGAGAUAUCUGGUGGUUCGGUCAUGUUGUCUGUCUGGCCUCAGGCUUAAUACUCUCCAGGAAAAUAUGAGAAUGUAUUAUGCGGGGGGG
ensembl:lncRNA